UACGUAGGGUGCAAGCGUUAAUCAGAAUUACUGGGCGUAAAGCGUGCGCAGGCGGUUGUGCAAGACAGAUGUGAAAUCCCCGGGCUCAACCUGGGAACUGCAUUUGUGACUGCACGGCUAGAGUGUGUCAGAGGGGGGUAGAAUUCCACGUGUAGCAGUGAAAUGCGUAGAUAUGUGGAGGAAUACCGAUGGCGAAGGCAGCCCCCUGGGAUAACACUGACGCUCAUGCACGAAAGCGUGGGGAGCAAACAGG
rnacentral:rRNA from 1 species